AUAGGGGAGCCGAAGGGAAACCGAGUCUUAACUGGGCGUUAAGUUGCAGGGUAUAGACCCGAAACCCGGUGAUCUAGCCAUGGGCAGGUUGAAGGUUGGGUAACACUAACUGGAGGACCGAACCGACUAAUGUUGAAAAAUUAGCGGAUGACCUGUGGCUGGGGGUGAAAGGCCAAUCAAACCGGGAGAUAGCUGGUUCUCCCCGAAAGCUAUUUAGGUAGCGCCUCGUGAACUCAUCUUCGGGGGUAGAGCACUGUUUCGGCUAGGGGGUCAUCCCGACUUACCAACCCGAUGCAAACUGCGAAUACCGAAGAAUGUUAUCACGGGAGACACACGGCGGGUGCUAACGUCCGUCGUGAAGAGGGAAACAACCCAGACCGCCAGCUAAGGUCCCAAAGUCACAGUUAAGUGGGAAACGAUGUGGGAAGGCUCAGACAGCCAGGAUGUUGGCUUAGAAGCAGCCAUCAUUUAAAGAAAGCGUAAUAGCUCACUGGUCGAGUCGGCCUGCGCGGAAGAUGUAACGGGGCUAAACUGUGCACCGAAGCUGCGGCAGCGACGCUUAUGCGUUGUUGGGUAGGGGAGCGUUCUGUAAGCCUGCGAAGGUGUCCUGUGAGGGAUGCUGGAGGUAUCAGAAGUGCGAAUGCUGACAUAAGUAACGAUAAUGCGGGUGAAAAGCCCGCUCGCCGGAAGACCAAGGGUUCCUGUCCAACGUUAAUCGGGGCAGGGUGAGUCGACCCCUAAGGCGAGGCCGAAAGGCGUAGUCGAUGGGAAACGGGUUAAUAUUCCCGUACUUGGUGUUACUGCGAAGGGGGGACGGAGAAGGCUAUGUUGGCCGGGCGACGGUUGUCCCGGUUUAAGCGUGUAGGCUGGUUUUCCAGGCAAAUCCGGAAAAUCAAG
rnacentral:rRNA from 2 species